UGACUGGAAGCUAAUUUAGCACUUAACUGUUAAUUAAGAAUUUGCCAGUACCCAAACCUGGCCCAUUCAG
rnacentral:tRNA from 1 species